rnacentral:rRNA from 1 species
CCUACGGGUGGCUGCAGUGAGGAAUAUUGGUCAAUGGACGAGAGUCUGAACCAGCCAAGUAGCGUGAAUGAUGACUGCCCUCUGGGUUGUAAACUUCUUUUAUAUGGGAAUAAAAUGUUCCACGACUAGGAUUUUGUAUGUACCAUAUCAAUAAGGAUCGGCUAACUCCGUGCCAGCAGCCGCGGUAAUACGGAGGAUCCGAGCGUUAUCCGGAUUGACUGGGUUUAAAGGGAGCGUAGGUGGAGUGUUAAGUCAGUUGUGAAGGUUUGCGGCUCAACCGUACAAUUGCAGUUGAUACUGGCAGUCUUGAGUACAGUAGAGGUGGGCGGAAUUCGUGGUGUAGCGGUGAAAUGCUUAGAUAUCACGAAGAACUCCGAUUGCGAAGGCAGUUCACUGGACUGGAACUGACACUGAGGCUCGAAAGUGUGGGUAUCAAACAGGAUUAGAUACCCGUGUAGUC